UUUUCUUUUAUUUUUAAAGAGUAGAAUAAAAUUUAAACAAGCUGUUUAAAAAGAAACAAUAUUUAUUAUUAAUUAAACAUACAUUUUUGACAAAUCCAGAAAAAAAUAGGUACACUAAAUAUAAGACUUUAAGUAAAAAAAUAUAAUAAACUGUGAGAAAAAUUGCAAUGUUAACAAUUAAAUUCAGCUUUACAAUCAAAAGAUGGCAUAAGACCUCUAGACUCGAGUGUGGUACGAAUUAAUCCAUCACGAGCCCUUUCACCUACUACAGUGAUAGAUGCCUCAGUUACCAGUUUUACGCAACGUUCAACUGCUUGAGUAUGGCAGGGAAAUUUUGAAAAUUCUAUUUUAAUUGAACAUAUGUUUGACAGCAUAUCCACAAGAGUUGAGUCGGUAAUGUCUCCUAGUAAGGGAGGUGAAUUUCGGAACUUUAAACACUCUUACCUUAUCACCUGAUUCCUUUCUUGCUUUUAUGAUACGUCUUAGACCUAAUUCUUUGACGAAACCUCUGUUGUCUGUUAUCAUAGCAAGCAAAAGAUUUUCCGGAUGGGCAAAAAA
rnacentral:lncRNA from 1 species